AUGAACGCUAGCGACAGGCCUAACACAUGCAAGUCGAGGGGCAGCACAAGGAGCAAUCUGAGGUGGCGACCGGCGCACGGGUGAGUAACACGUAUGCAACCUGCCUGUAAGCGGGGAAUAACCCGUUGAAAGACGGACUAAUACCGCAUAAUACUAAAUUACUGCAUGGUAAUUUAUUUAAACAUUUAUGGCUUACAGAUGGGCAUGCGCAUGAUUAGCUAGUUGGAGAGGUAACGGCUCCCCAAGGCAACGAUCAUUAGGGGUUCUGAGAGGAAGGUCCCCCACACUGGUACUGAGACACGGACCAGACUCCUACGGGAGGCAGCAGUGAGGAAUAUUGGUCAAUGGACGAGAGUCUGAACCAGCCAAGUCGCGUGCAGGAAGAAUGUCCUUAAUGGAUUGUAAACUGCUUUUGCAGGGGAAUAAAGUGCAUCACGUGUGAUGUUUUGUAUGUACUCUGCGAAUAAGGAUCGGCUAACUCCGUGCCAGCAGCUGC
rnacentral:rRNA from 1 species